rnacentral:tRNA from 1 species
AAAAAGCAAAACAAAAAAUGCCCCCAGGCGGGAUUGAACCGCCGGCCUUCUGUUUACGAGACAGACGCUCUGCCACUGAGCUAUACGGGCUGA